rnacentral:rRNA from 1 species
GACGAACGCUGGCGGCGUGCUUAACACAUGCAAGUCGAACGGAAAGGCCCUGCUUUUGUGGGGUGCUCGAGUGGCGAACGGGUGAGUAACACGUGAGUAACCUGCCCUUGACUUUGGGAUAACUUCAGGAAACUGGGGCUAAUACCGGAUAGGAGCUCCUGCUGCAUGGUGGGGGUUGGAAAGUUUCGGCGGUUGGGGAUGGACUCGCGGCUUAUCAGCUUGUUGGUGGGGUAGUGGCUUACCAAGGCUUUGACGGGUAGCCGGCCUGAGAGGGUGACCGGCCACCUUGGGACUGAGAUACGGACCAGAAGCCUACGUGAGGCAGCAGUGGGGAAUAUUGCACAAUGGGCGGAAGCCUGAUGCGGCAACGCCGCGUGCGGAAUGACGGCCUUCGGGUUGUAAACCGCUUUCGCCUGUGACGAAGCGUGAGUGACGGUAAUGGGUAAAGAAGCACCGGCUAACUACGUG